CAUCCUUCAAACACAAGCCAUACCAUCUUAAGGUUGUGUGGGAGGGGAUUUGUCUUGCAACAGGAUAAUGAUUUGAAAUACACUUCUCACAUGUGUAAAAAUUAUUUCAGAAGCAAGCAAGAGAAAGGUGAUCUGGUUGUCAUGGAUUUUCCUCCUCAAUAUCGGGACCUAUAAAUCCUAUUGGGAAUUUAUGGGAUCAUUUGAAACGAGAGAACGUGAAACAUGAUUCCACAAGUAAAGACAACCUAUGGGAUGUCGUUAAUCAAUGCUGGAAGG